UACGUAGGGGGCGAGCGUUGUCCGGAUUUAUUGGGCGUAAAGAGCGUGUAGGCGGCCAGGUAGGUCUGCUGUGAAAACUCGAGGCUCAACCUCGAGACGUCGGCGGAAACCAUCUGGCUAGAGUCCGGAAGAGGAGAGUGGAAUUCCUGGUGUAGCGGUGAAAUGCGCAGAUAUCUGGAGGAACACCGGUGGCGAAGGCGGCGUUCUGGACUGCAACUGACACUGAGGAACGAAAGCCAGGGGAGCAAACGGG
rnacentral:rRNA from 1 species